rnacentral:lncRNA from 1 species
GGCUAGAUCUGAACAUUGCACCAUAAUGUUUAUGAUUCAGUACAAUUGAUGUUAUUCAUUAAGAGAAUUGCCAUUUAGUACGUAAAGGGUCCAGAGUUCCAGUGGUGUUGUGGGACUUUGACUGUGAACUCAGGAUGUUGUCUAAACAAAUAUUUACUAAAUUUGGAGAAAACAUCUAAAACUUAGGUAGUAUAUGAGAAAUAUUGAUAAAGGUGAUAUAAUAUUUGUUCAUGCAGUAAAAUUAUUCAAAUUGAUUUGCCCAUUAUGUGUGAUCUCCAGUGUCAGCAAGGUUAAAGACCUUUACGAAAUACUGUAAUUAUACCAAUAUAUGACAGAGAGAAAAAAUGACGUGACUGGGACAUCCAACCUCAGGAAUGGCCCCAAUGUCAUGUCAGGUGGAACUCAAUGUCCUACUAGAAUGCAGCUUCGUUCUUCACACGGCGGAUUGUGCCUUCUGUGAGAUGUUGGUCAUCGACCCCCAGGGAGAGGCUGUGUAUAGACAGGCUGCAGGAGCUGAGGCCUUCCAGGCUGCAAUGGAGAAGUUUCACCCAGGACAUCCCACCCCUGAGGUCAAAUAGGUGAAAGAGUUCAUGGAUACCAUGUUGGGAGACUGCUCAAGGGAUGAGGAUAUGACUUUCCUGAUACUAAGGGUCAGAAAAACUCUCUUGGAGGGGUACCAAGAUGCUGAGAGCCCCAUCCAGAAAUGUGUGGCAGCUUAUCUGGUGCUUAUGAAGAGUCCUGACAAUGUGCUGCUUAGCAAGGUGAUCACCAUGCUGAAGGAUGAGCAGGACCCACAGGUCAGGAGCUUUGUGGCCUGCCGCCUUGACAACAUCUGCCACUCUGUUGAUCCCAAAAUGCAACAAAUAAGACAGUUAGUAUAUCGAGGAGGCAUUGCAUCAGCACUCUGUUAA